UUUCGUUAGCGGCUUCUACUUCUUCUGUUGCAAAACCCCACUCUGAAACCCGAACCGACUGUCCCCUGUCAAAUUCAGGAUUUCGAAACGAUAUUUUUACUAUUCAAUAUACAAAUCUUUUUUUUUCAGUGCUAAAAAAUAUCAAAGAAGAAGCCAAAUAUGAGAAAUCAGAUGGACGCCGCGAAUGACCACCGAUUUAACAUAAGGAAUAUUAUGAAGGAUAUUGAGUUUCUGGGAUCCUCGUACAUGACAUGGAAGGAGAGGAAAGAGAUGGAGAAUAGGAAGGUGGUUUCUAUGGGUGGAAGCCACCUAAGAAGCAGAGAUUACCCUUAAGUGUAGCUAGGGUGGUCAUGAAGAAACAAAAGGAAAGAGAAGAUAAAAUGCUAAAAGAGAAUAUGUUUCUCGGCCGAUUUAGAGGGAAGCUUGGUGGUGGUGUUAAAAGAUCAGCAGACAAGCGGAGGCCUGAGGAGAGGGUUCUGAAGUCAAGUGAAGGUCAUUUUAAAAAUGGUGUACUUGAUGUGAAGCAUUUGUUUCGUAAGGCUUCUGCUAAUGACAAGGACUUUGAUGGACAUGCGGUUAAUAAUGCAAAAAAUAAAAGGGGAAGUGUUAAAAAGAAUCAAGGAAAGAAGAAAAGUGGUGGCCGUGGUGGUGGUGGCAGGAAGCGCCAUUGAAUGAAACAUCUAAUCUAAGAAGAUUCACCCCCUUGGCAAUGCCAGUUUUGGAUAUUUGAAACUGAUAGAAUAGCCCUUUUUUGGGCAUUGACAAAUUGUCACAGUUGGCCUAUGUUCUAUUAUUGUAUGCUAAAGCUGUUUUCAGUUUCAAGGCCCUCAAGUAUGCAGAGAGCACAACUACAUAGCUGCUUGACAAAUAUAGGAACGACCAGUAAAUUUGAUGGGAGAUUGAGUCUUGAUGAUUUGUUUGCAUAAUUUGUUCACAACCUGGUGUUGGUUAUUCUGCAUAUGAAAUCUUUCACUCUCCUCUUUUAUGUCUAUUCUUUGUUCCCACUUCAAGCAUUGCUCAAAAUUUUACAAAAUUUGUAAAUGCUUCAUUCCUAUGCAAAAUGUCUCCAGGCUUGUAUUCCAUGAUAUAUGUUUCAACAAGCCUUUUUAGAAAUUUUAUGAAAACAACCACUACUACAAAUAAAAU